rnacentral:lncRNA from 1 species
GGUCGAGGAGCAUCAAAAAAUAAUUAAAGUAAACAGAGCGAAUCAAAAUUGGGUGUCAACGCUUGUCAUAGUCGAUUUUUACUUAAGGUUAAAACAAACACAACAUGAUAAACUUCAAAAAGAAUUAAUUUGGUAUAGAGUCGCCACCUAAUUUUUAAGGAAAAAUAGGAAACCUAUUUAUUUGAUUAACAAGUAUGAUUUUAUUUAAUCUAUGAAACCAUUUUAAAUUUCAGGUAAGAGUUCAAAUCAUUCCAAAGGGAAAGGAUUAGGCACCCUCCAGAAAAAUGUGGUUCCUGACCAAACUUAAAUUUAUUACAAGUCGAAGGAAAAAAAUCAAUGUUU